rnacentral:tRNA from 1 species
AUGACAUUAGCUUAGUUGGGAGAGCGACGGAGUAAUAUCCGUAGAUCAUGGGUUCGAGUCCCAUAUGUUAUU